GGAGAGGUGGCUGAGUGGUUGAAAGCGCACGAUUGGAAAUCGUGUUUAGGAUAACACCUAACGAGGGUUCAAAUCCCUCUCUCUCCG
rnacentral:tRNA from 1 species